rnacentral:rRNA from 1 species
CUAAGGCUGAUGGCGACCGGCGCACGGGUGAGUAACACGUAUCCAACCUGCCGAUAACUCGGGGAUAGCCUUUCGAAAGAAAGAUUAAUACCUGAUGGUAUAAUAAAACCGCAUGGUUUAAUUAUUAAAGAAUUUCGGUUAUCGAUGGGGAUGCGUUCCAUUAGGCAGUUGGUGAGGUAACGGCUCACCAAACCUUCGAUGGAUAGGGGUUCUGAGAGGAAGGUCCCCCACAUUGGAACUGAGACACGGUCCAA